UACGGGGGGAGCAAGCGUUGUUCGGAUUUACUGGGCGUAAAGGGCGCGUAGGCGGUCGUGACAAGUCACUUGUGAAAUCUCCGGGCUUAACUCGGAACGGUCAAGUGAUACUGUCGGACUAGAGUACAGAAGGGGCAACUGGAAUUCUCGGUGUAGCGGUGAAAUGCGUAGAUAUCGAGAGGAACACCUGCGGCGAAGGCGGGUUGCUGGGCUGAUACUGACGCUGAGGUGCGAAAGCGUGGGGAGCGAACAGG
rnacentral:rRNA from 1 species